AUAGCACCCAUCAGGGGAAGGUAAGAACCUUCGACCAAGGUUCGCGCCGAGCGAAGCGAGACCGCGACGCAAUGCGGCGACCCGCAGGGUGAGGAACAACGUGACGGAUAAUCCUUCCCCCACCACCU
rnacentral:sRNA from 4 species